ensembl:lincRNA
GGCUGUGAGUGGGCUGUUCCCUCCUCCCUGCGAGUGCAGUUGUGAUAGUGAUUGGGAUAAUUUGAUCAUUAUAUUUGUAUCUAAAGCAGAUGCUAUAGGAAUUUUACAUCCUUGGAGAAGUCCACCUUCUCCUUUUCUCCUGGUUGUCUUGAAAAAGACCCGGGAGUUGGUAUUUAUAUUGGCAUCAGGAUGGAGAGAGAACAUAAAAAUGGGUGGAUGUACAGUCAGUGAUAGAUGGAGUAUGUGAACAUUUUUGGCUUGGAAAUCAGUUUUCCUCUGCCGUUGUACAUGGGCCAAGGAAGCCCCAAUUACUCCAGGUCUUUCCUGGAGUCACUAAAUCACCUGGAAUGUCUUCCUCUCCUCCCUUCCUGUGGUUCCUUCCAGUGACUUGUUUGUCUUUAUCCACAGAACCUUUGUGGAGGGAGGGCCUGCUGUGGCAGAGUGCAGGGGCAGAGCUGCCAGACAAAGACAACAGGGGCUGGAGGAAACGGACCAGGCACAUGAACCCUUGUACCCUCCACUCCUGGACCAGCAUGGAUGGUGGCACUGGGGACACUAGGACCAGCCCAGCGUGAAGGAGGGAAGGACGGAAAGACAGACGCCCUCCAGAACCUGAGCCCAGCUCCUCACCGUCCAAGCACUGAGGCUGCGACUCUUAACCCGAAAGGCAGCCCGACGAAAGCCACCGCUGGUGACGGGAGGGCAUCAUGGGCCGCUCUCACCACGGACUAGAACCUCUGGGCACAGAGGAUUUUUCUGUCUCCCUGGUUCAGAGGUAUCCAGAGUGACCAUUCUCAACGACAAAACCUUUCCACAUGUAGAAAAAGGGCAUGGAAAAGAAUGUAUGGAUUAGAGGUACCGGGCUAAUGACUUUCUAAGUGCUUCCAAAUAUAGCAAAUCCACGGGACUAAUGAUGAGGGCUCGCAGGUGUAGCCAGGGCCAGAAUGAAGAAGGAGAAAUGCCCCCCUCUUAUUCCUGCACCCCACACUGUCUCCCAGGCUGGCCCCAGUUUCAUUGCCGCACCCACCCAAACAAACUUAAAACCAACCCUGAUUUUCUGUGAUCAUAUUUACAAAAUGAAAGCUGACAGGCAGUGGCCGUACAGCUAGUCAGGAGGCUGAGGCAGGAGGAUCCCAAAUUCAAGGCAAGCCUGGGCAACUUACCCUGUAUCAAAAGAGGAGGACGGUGAUGGAAGUGCUGCUCAGUGAAAGAAUACUUGCCUAGCACGUGCAAGGCCUUGGCUUGGGUUUCACGCCCAGUCCUGAGAGGGGGCGAGGAACCCAACUGCAUGGGAGUUAUGAGCUAAUGUGCCCAACAGCUGAAUCCCAAGCCUGGCUCGUCCCCCCAAAAUGAGGGACCCCUCAGAGACUCCUGGAAUAUCACCUCGAAAGUCCUCAGAGUCGGGCCCCAGAGGAACCCCGGGCCUUAUGUGAGUCUCCAGGACAAUGGUACAAUUUUCUGGUCUGGGUACGUCCCUGUGAGCAUCAGGGACGUGAGGAUCACACGGGAUGUGGCCGGGACUGGUCUGUUGGAUUCCCCCUUUGCCAACCACUCCUUCUCCUUCUGUGAGCAGAGCGGCUCUCUCCAAAGAGCCCCGGGCUCUUGUUUUGGCUCUGAAAGUCCUAGGAGAGCAGAGAGAAAGGUCAUCGUGUUAUUUUAAACACAAAUUUGAUACUAAGAUAUUCAUGGCCUGGCAUGCAAAGGUUGAUAGAUAACUCCCCACUCCCCUCUCCGUGGCUGUAGCCCUCACCCACGUCACUUUGACAUCUGGGCUCCACAUUUUGAGAAAGUUGAUCAUACACAAGAGAUCCCAAGAAGAAGGGAAAAUGCUAUAAAGAGAAAGGAUGGAAAUGAAGCCUGAGCAGGAAGCUUAAAUGUGUUGUGAUUCCUAAGCGUGGGAAGAAAGAAGACCGCAGGAUGACGACAUCUCUAUGUGUAGGUGAGAGAAGGUUGGCUGUACGAAGGCUGCUGAUCCGUUUCAUCAGCUAAUAAGUGAUAUUCUUGGCAGUCUCCCCUGACAAUGUGCCUUGGGGAGUACAGGCAUUGGAUAGGAUCCCCACAGAAAGCCCGGAGAGUCCAAUCUGGGCAGGGAAACUGAUUCACCCCCCACGGCCCCUGCAGGCAAGGGCCUGUCAGGCUUCUCAGUUGGGUGAUGGAGAAUCAGGGCUCCUUCUAGAGAGGAAGUUUCAGAGAUGUGCUGCUUAAGAGAAAUAUAUGUCACUUUCAGGUUAAUUAGCUAUUGAAUAAAGGCUACAAAAGAAAAAGUGGGUUUCUUUCUCGGGAGUUUUAAGAAUGGUAGCCACUUUCUUCGUUUAAAGAUAGAAGGAUGUACCAGAUAUCCUUUAAAAGGCCUCCCUAUUUUUACACAUCCAUGGUGAAUUAGAAUUCUGAGAACAGAAAUCUAAUUAUGACUAGCUUGGUCAGAGGUACAGAUGUUCUGGAUUCACACAGCCAUGGGCCGGGAAUUUAGCUCAGUGGUUCCGCUGCCUGCCUUGCAAUCACAAGGUCCUGAAUUCGAUCCCCGGUACCAAAAAUGAAUAAAUAAAUAAAGAUUCACACAGCUAACCUUCAAGGAAGUGGACGGUGCAUGUGACCGGUCUGGAGACACCUGGCAUCUGGGAGUGGUAUUGCCCCACCUAAUCUCUGUCUCUCUGUCAGAUCCAGAUCUUUGUCUGUAUUUUUCACACAACAGAAACAAAGUCACCAAGAAACCUGGCUUUAUAUCUCACUCUUCACUCUUAUGAAAGAGCUGCCUCUGUUUCCUUAGUUCCAAGCCAAAAGCAUUCCAGGGAAGGGCUAGGUCAAGUGGGCACCGCCAAGGGCAGGUAGCCAGGGCUGCCCCUGGAACCUUGUGGUUGAAUCAGGGGAAUCAGUUGCCAGGAAGAAGGACAGAGCAGACACAGACAUGAAUGUCCAGCAUGACACCCAACAGGAUGUGCGAGGUGGGUCAUGGAGCUGAAGGGACAAAAAGAGUGUGGGAGUGAAGUCGAGGAAAGGCCAGCGAAGGGUAAGGCAUAGGGCCGUUCUGCAGCAUAAGCAAGCAAAUCGCAAGCACAUUCAGUUCUACUCUUGAGCGAAGAUGCCCCAGGCCGCAUAUAUUUCUUGCCAAUUUCCUUUCAACCUUUAACUAAUAACUUUUCCUCUUUAAAUUCCGUCUGAGCGAACUGGCAAAGAGAUUUGCAGCACUUCAUGUUUGUUUGUACUUGGUUUAGCUGGAAAGAUUCCUAUGAAGUUUUCUGCCCUGAUCAUUUUGUCUGUAGGUUUCUAUCCAACAUGAACCCUUUCAUUAUAUGAGAUGUUGUAAUAUUUGUUAGUGGCAGAGACAUCUUUCUACUUGGUAGACGAUGCCUUCGAGCUGUCGGCUUUAGCUGUGAGUGUGAUCAGUGCAUGCGUAUUUGCGAUUGAGGAUGAAUAACACCAACAGGUCCCAGCUUUACCAGAACGGAGCGUCAGAUCGACAGUGGUAGGAACCAGAAGAACUGGAAUUUGAACCCAGGCUGCGACAUGCAUACAGUAUAAUGGGGACUGUGCUGCACUUGAUUCCUCUUCUCAUUCACACCAUCCUCUUCCAGCUGCCAGAGCUAUGGACUGCUGACCUACCUCGCCCAGAGUCGCCCUUUUGUCCAGCGUGGCCAAGCUGAUGCAGGGUUUCGAAGGCCCAGCGCUCUUACUGCAGUUCUGGGCAAUGCUGAAAGGACCUAGCUCAGGUACUGCAGGAUCUGCCAUCACUGAUGGCCACAGGUUCAGCCUCUUCCUCUGCCUCACCCUGUUUCCUUGCUCUAGUGAGUGUUUCAGUGAGCACGCCCAGUAAACUUCCCUCGUGCAAAUGUCUAUCUCAGCAUCUAAGCUACACAUUUACCUUUCAGGACUUUUUCCAUUGAGAUUAAAGUCAAUGUGUGUUUUAACCAGCUGCACAGUUAAUUAUUGUAAUGACCUUAAAGCCAUGAUCCAAAAAGUUCAGAGUUAAAUCACAAUUAAAUAAAACGAAG